rnacentral:rRNA from 1 species
GACGAACGCUGGCGGCGUGCUUAACACAUGCAAGUCGAGCGGUAAGGCCCUUUCGGGGGUACACGAGCGGCGAACGGGUGAGUAACACGUGGGUGACCUGCCUCUAGCUCUGGGAUAAGCCUGGGAAGCUGGGUCUAGUACCGGAUAUGACCUCGCGGUGCAUGUUGCGGGGUGGAAAGCCUUGUGCGGCUAGGGAUGGGCCCGCGGCCUAUCAGCUUGUUGGUGGGGUGANGGCCUACCAAGGCGACGACGGGUAGCCGGCCUGAGAGGGCGACCGGCCACACUGGGACUGAGACACGGCCCAGACUCCUACGGGAGGCAGCAGUGGGGAAUCUUGCGCAAUGGGCGAAAGCCUGACGCAGCGACGCCGCGUGAGGGAUGACGGCCUCGG